AACGAACGCUGGCGGCGUGGAUAAGACAUGCAAGUCGGACGCUUGAUUUUGUAGCAAUAUGAGGAUACGGGAGUGGCGAAAGGGUGCGUAACACGUGGGUAAUUUGUCUGAGAGUUCAGGAUAAUUCGCUGAAAGGCGGAGUAAUACUGGAUGUGGAUAUUGGCUGGGAACAGCUGAUAUCUAAAGCCGGGGACCGCAAGGCCUGGUGCUCUUAGGUAAGCCCGCGACCUAUCAGCUAGUUGGUGAGGUAAGAGCUCACCAAGGCGGAGACGGGUAGCUGGUCUGAGAGGACGACCAGCCACACUGGAACUGAGACACGGUCCAGACACCUACGGGUGGCAGCAGUCGAGAAUUUUUCUCAAUGGGGGAAACCCUGAAGGAGCGACGCCGCGUGGGGGAUGAAAGGGCUUCGGCUCGUAAACCCCUGUCAUUUGUGAGCAAGUGUUAUUGUUUAAGAGAUGAUGACAUUGAUAGUAGCAAAAGAGGAAGGGACGGCUAACUCUGUGCCAGCCGCCGC
rnacentral:rRNA from 1 species